GACGAACGCUGGCGGCGUGCUUAACACAUGCAAGUCGAACGGUGAAGGGGCCUGCUUUUGUGGGCCCUGGAUGAGUGGCGAACGGGUGAGUAACACGUGAGUAACCUGCCCCCUUCUUCUGGAUAACCGCAUGAAAGUGUGGCUAAUACGGGAUAUUCUGUGUCUGUCGCAUGAUGGGUCUGGGAAAGAUUGCGCCUUUGGGUGUUUUUGGUGGGGGAUGGGCUCGCGGCCUAUCAGCUUGUUGGUGGGGUGAUGGCCUACCAAGGCGGUGACGGGUAGCCGGCCUGAGAGGGUGGACGGUCACACUGGGACUGAGACACGGCCCAGACGCCUACGGGAGGCAGCAGUGGGGAAUAUUGCACAAUGGGCGCAAGCCUGAUGCAGCGACGCCGCGUGAGGGAUGGAGGCCUUCGGGUUGUAAACCUCUUUCGCAAGUGAAGCAGGCCUGCUCCUUGUGGGUGGGUUGACGGUAGCUGGAUAAGAAGCGCCGGCUAACUACGUG
rnacentral:rRNA from 1 species